rnacentral:lncRNA from 1 species
UAUUCACUGAGCUCUCGUCUCCCAGGAAAAGGGAAAUGCCCCUCCCCUCCACGCUAUGAACAAGAACCACAACUAACUGGCUGAAGUAUGAAAAUUGCUGAAGGGCAUUUUCUAUCACACUUUGGGCAGCUGCACAUGAAAUUGAUGGAAAAUUACCUUUCCAAGGUGAGGUGAGUUUAAUUGCUAAUUUGAUGAAAGGGAGGAAAUACUUAAGACACUUUGGCCUUGGAAAGCGUGGAAGGAUCUUGGAGGAGGAUGAGAAAUUUUCUGACAAACAUCUUGGUAACAAAAUUUCCUACUGCUUGUUCAGUGCGUGAAUUCUUUUUUGAUCAUCUUUGAAAGGCGAACAGAAACAACCAAUUCAGAAAUGUAUAAAAAUCAACACUUUUUAAAAAUUACAAAUUAGAAACAAGAGUCAUAGUAGUGAGGGCGUUCUACGCAGGAAGAGUUUGG